AUGAAAAACAAGCCGUUAAGUGACAGUGGUGAGGAAAAGUGUCUGGUACGUAACUGGCAAUACGCGACUUAAUAGCGUUUGUUGGUGGUUCCAAGUAAAAAAUGGCGCCUAAAAAACAUCCAGUCAAAUUCACACUAAAGUUAAGGGGGAGAGCAAAGAAGGAACAUAUCAACGAAACAACGAACACCUGAUGCUAAAAGGCCAGAGCGACGUUAGCAUGCCUGUCACCAAACAGCUAAGCCAGCUGACUAGCUACUACGUUGGUACUAGUGAUAAAUUGGUAACUUCGGUUUCGAGAAACAUAAUUUCCUUGAACAAAGGAAAAGAAGCUUACUAUUGUUUCCAAAGCUAGGAACAAGGAUGCAAAGUUUGCUCAUCCCUAACCCAAAGACUACAACUGGCGAAAAGUGGCGCACUUCUGCGGUAAUGACGACGGAGGAAAGUAAGAAAUGGAUUAUUGCGCCAUUGCAAUUAAAACUGUUGAAGAACGUGUCGGAAAGUUGGACCACAACUCAAGAAUUCAUCUGCCCUGUGUCGGGGAGUAAUGUCUCACCUAAAAGUACAUUGCUCAGCUUCUGUUCCGGUACUCAUGUCUACUUCUCCAAACUGAGAGUGCACCGAUCUGGAUCUACCGCAGAGCCCAGCACUCCCGCACCACUGAGACUUCUUUCCGCCCCAGGUCUGCAUUGAUUGGCCACCAGCACUCCUCCUUCCACCUUGCCUCCUAUUAUCUGCUACUUUCUGUGGUUUGGAGUCCUUCCAGCUGGCCUCCCUUUCUUGCUCUGUGGUUUUGUUCAGGAGAUUUCAUCUCUCUCCUCAUCGUUCCUGCAGAUUGACAGCUAAGCUCAGGUAUGAAAACAAACAGCUCUGGAAUUGACUGGUGAAAAGAAAUCCGCCACUAAUGCUCCUUCACAAACUCUCCUUCUUUUUCCUGCCCCUGUUGAUGCUAAGCCCUAGCAGCUUACAAGAAAAGGUGGUAGAGAUUUGAAAUCAUUAACUAUUAAUAACACCAUUCUACAUGUCUGUCUUAAGAACACUGCCUCUACUGGAUUAUUGCUCUUGUUUCUACCAACACUUAAACCUAAAAAACGUCUUUACCUCGGAAACAUCACAUUAUGUAGCCAAACACCCACAUGACAAUAAGAUAUAAUUAUAGAUGUGUCAUCUGUAAGAGGUACAUGGU